rnacentral:pre_miRNA from 1 species
UUUAUUUAUCUAGUUGUAGGACUUCCAUUCAGACAGCUUUCUGGCAGUUCUGAAUGUUGGUUGUUCUGUAUUUUAGUUGUAAU